ensembl:lncRNA
GAUGGGUGGUCUGCUGACAAUCAGUGGGGUGGGGACCCUGAGGAUAGAAUGUGCAGAAACCUCCUCUGGGAUGGGCUGGAGGAAGGGGGAGAAAGUACGGGCUUUCAAACUAGACCAUCUUAAGAUCCCACCUAGCCAUCCUGUAUCCAGCUGAUCUCCGGCACAGAUGUUUUAUUUCCUCACUUAUAAAAUCAGGAUGUGAGUCCUUAUUUUCUGGGUCACUGUGAAGACCAAAUAGAGAUGAUGUAAAGCCUCUUCCUCCUCCUCGUAACACAAGGACACUGGGUUCCUGUACCCAAGUCAAAAUCAAGAAUCACGGUGACUCAGAUGGUAAAGAUGGAGAAGGAGAUGGCAACCCACUCCAGUAUCCUUGCCUGGAGAAUUCCAUGGACUGAGGAGGCUGGUGGGCCCCAGUCCAUGGGGUCACAAAGAGUCGGACAAACUGACACCAUGUCUGAUUCAUUUUUUUGGCCACACCUCUCAGCCAGGUGGGUUCCCUGACCAGGGAUCAAACCCAUGACCCUGCAUUGGAAGCAUGGAGUCUUAACCACUGAACUGCCAAGAAAGUCCCCAGGUGACUUUUUUUCGG